rnacentral:rRNA from 1 species
UACGUAGGGGGCAAGCGUUGUCCGGAAUUAUUGGGCGUAAAGAGCGCGUAGGCGGUCCGAUAAGUCGGCUGUGAAAGUCAGGGGCUCAACCCUUGAAAGCCGGCCGAUACUGUCGGACUAGAGUCCGGAAGAGGCAAGUGGAAUUCCCGGUGUAGCGGUGAAAUGCGCAGAUAUCUGGAGGAACACCGGUGGCGAAGGCGGCAUCCUGGACCGGUAUUGACGCUGAGGCGCGAAAGCCAGGGGAGCAAACGGG